rnacentral:rRNA from 1 species
AGUGAACGCCGGCGGUAGGCCUAACACAUGCAAGUCGAACGGCAGCACAGUAAGAGCUUGCUCUUACGGGUGGCGAGUGGCGGACGGGUGAGGAAUACAUCGGAAUCUACUUUUUCGUGGGGGAUAACGUAGGGAAACUUACGCUAAUACCGCAUACGACCUACGGGUGAAAGCAGGGGAUCUUCGGACCUUGCGCGAUUGAAUGAGCCGAUGUCGGAUUAGCUAGUUGGCGGGGUAAGGGCCCACCAAGGCGACGAUCCGUAGCUGGUCUGAGAGGAUGAUCAGCCACACUGGAACUGAGACACGGUCCAGACUCCUACGGGAGGCAGCAGUGGGGAAUAUUGGACAAUGGGCGCAAGCCUGAUCCAGCCAUACCGCGUGGGUGAAGAAGGCCUUCGGGUUGUAAAGCCCUUUUGUUGGGAAAGAAAAGCAGCAGGUUAAUACCCCGCUGUUCUGACGGUACCCAAAGAAUAAGCACCGGCUAACUUCGUG